AUCACACAGAUUCAAACCGAUCC
rnacentral:siRNA from 1 species